rnacentral:misc_RNA from 1 species
GAUCAAGCAAAGGAAAGCAGGAGACUUUUGCGGUGUCUCGCCUUUCCGGUUCUCUGGUCGAACUACACCUGUCUGGAACAGCUCUAGACAAAGUCGGAUCGGGCUUCUGUCUUCUCCUUGGUAUUGGUUACCAUGACUCCUUCACCAAUCACCUCUUCGGCUACGCUUGAUUUAUUUUCUACUCACAAGGAGACUUUUUUAGCAUUGGGGAGAAUAUUGAACGGAGGCCCUUUUCCAGAAAAUGUUCAUGAUAUAAAUCCUUUCCAG